rnacentral:rRNA from 1 species
CAGUAGCCGCGGUAAUACGAGGGGGGCGAGCGUUGUUCGGAAUUAUUGGGCGUAAAGGGCGCGUAGGCGGUUUGGCAAGUUUGGUGUGAAAUCUUCGGGCUCAACUCGAAGUCUGCAUCGAAAACUGCCGGGCUUGAGUAUGGGAGAGGUGAGUGGAAUUUCCGGUGUAGCGGUGAAAUGCGUAGAUAUCGGAAGGAACACCUGUGGCGAAAGCGGCUCACUGGACCAUAACUGACGCUGAUGCACGAAAGCUAGGGGAGCAAACAGGAUUAGAUACCCCGGUAGUCCCUGUCUCUUAUAC